UACGAGGGGGGCAAGCGUUGUUCGGAAUUACUGGGCGUAAAGGGCGCGUAGGCGGCCUUCUAAGUUGAACGUGAAAUCCCCGGGCUCAACCCGGGAACUGCGUCCGAUACUGGAAGGCUUGAAUCCGGGAGAGGGAUGCGGAAUUCCAGGUGUAGCGGUGAAAUGCGUAGAUAUCUGGAGGAACACCGGGGGCGAAGGCGGCAUCCUGGACCGGCAUUGACGCUGAGGCGCGAAAGCCAGGGGAGCAAACGGG
rnacentral:rRNA from 1 species